UUUUUUUUUCGUUGCAUGCAUGUUUCAAAUGCUUUGUAACGGUGGAGAUUCAGGUCAGCCAUCCGCAUAUUACAUAGCAGACACUAUGUGCCCAUUCGUUAUACACGAUUACAUGGUAUAUACAGACAAAUUAAAUCCAUGCAUGAUGCACUACAUAAUGAACGGGAACGCCAACGCCCAACGCGACGGACGUGCCAAAUAGAGCGAUCCAUUCCGGUGCGGGCAAGGAAUCCGGUUCAGACAUGGCAUUAUGGCAAGAGCAUCGCUGCCCACAUAUACUGCAGUGCUAGUAACUGUAAUGACGCGGAUACUGCGCGCAUUAUUGGACCGGCCACAGUAGUGGUCAGUGGAGGCCUGUGGCUUGCGUGAACCCGGCUGCUAGUUAAUCAUCUCGCGGGGGGUAGCCGUCAGGUGGAGGCCCUGAUCGAUGUAGAGCGUGAUCAUGGUCCUGUAGUUGACGCUGGCGCCCUCGUCGCGCAGGGCCAGCACGAAGAAGCGGAGUAGCACGGCCGCGAAGAUCUUCAUCUGCCUGUACGCGAACUCCUUCCCCAGGCAGAUCCUCGGACCAGCCUGCCACGCGCGCAUAGAAAGCAGGAGGCAGUGGCACCCACAGAGUUCAGAAAAAAAACCUCACCGUAAACUGUUCUCUGUUGGGGUGGUGUCUUGUGGUCUAAUUUACCUGGAAAGCUGUGAACUUGAAAGGGCUCUCCGGCUGAAACAUGCCGUGCUCGUCGAGCCACCGUUCGGGCCGGAAGGAUCCGGCGUCCUCGCCCCACAGGCGCUCCAUCCUGCCCAUGGCGUAGGGCACGUAGAACACGAUGUCCCCCUUGCCCACGCUGAAGCCGUCAGGCAGAACGUCGUCUGAGAAACACUCCUUGUUAUCCUGAAACACCAAGGAAAAAAAUUGAAGGAACAUACAGUAGCAAUCAGAUCUGCAGUAAUUACAGUCUUAGAAAUCCACAGGCACAAGCUACGGACGCUGCAAUGUUUAUCCAUGACCACAAUUCACAAAUUUAGGACGUGACACGUAUAUAGUGUAUUAGUAUCUCUAUUCUCUGGACUUACCAACGGGACAGAAGGGUAGAGCCGGAGUGUCUCCGUGAGGGCAGCGUGCAGGUAGUGCAUUUUAUUCAGCGCCUCAUCAGUCAGGCUCUGCGAGAACGCGUCGAUGGAGGCGGCCUGGCCAGCGUUAACGGCCUCCUUGGUCUCCUGGCAGAUCUUUUCCUGAACCUCCGGGUGUUUGCAAACCAUGUAGAGGAACCAGGCCAGCGCUCCCGCCGUCGUGUCCUUGCCGGCUAUGACGAUGUUCAUUAUGAUGUCCCUGAGGUACUUGUAGUCCACCUCCCCUGUUUCGCUCCUGGUCACCUUCAUGAAUCUCGACAGCAAAUCUUGCUUCGAGUCCUAUCAAAUUUCAACCCAAGAAUCCAUCUGAAUUUAUUCGACUCAAUCAGAGGAAGUUGGAUUAAUUACGGUGUCGUACGUGUGGGUUGGUGGCGUCGGACGAAAUCUCAUCGGCCCUGGCACGGAUGUGCUUGUACACGAACCCGUCGACGACCUUGAUCCUCUCCCUGAGCAUCGCCUCCGCGCGGACGUUGAGGAGCCUCGCCACCUUCCAGAACGCGUUGACGUAGCGGAGCAGGCUGAACUCGCUGGCGUCGUCGAACGCCGCGGCAAAGCGGCUCCCUUCGCUGUACAUCGAGCCGCCCAGAGUGUUGAGGUCCAGGCCGAAGGCGAUGGUGAAGAUGGAGUCCAUCGUCGCUUUCAUCAGCAAACCCUGAUCGUAGAAACAAAUAUCGGACAGCGUCGUCAGCACAACACUGCCCGGCCAUUAAUUCCAUAAUUUUUUAUACUCCGUAUUUAGAUCCCGAGAUUGAUAGGUCGAGCGGUUGCCUGGAAGUCCAUGGGUUUCUUCGCCGCGGUGUUGUCGGAGACGAUGUGGGCAAGCUUGGCGGCGUUCUUGUUGAAGACGCCGCCGCUGAAGUCCCGGAGGGCCCUCGUCGAGAAGUCGUAGCUAGCGAUCUUCCGCUGCUCCUUCCACUUUUGGCCGUCCACCGCGAAGAUGCCGUCCCCCAAGAGAUCACUCAUGUUCUCGUAGUUAAACUCGCCCUGGGCACAUAUUUGUUCAGAACUUCAGAAGUUCGGAACUUCAGAUACACCAUGGGACACUGAUGAACAUAAGGAUUUGAAACUGUGAAUCUGAUUUGGCUGUUUGUCACUAGUAACUAAAUUUUGAUGAUCUAGUAUUCCCUCGUCACAUAAUUAUUGUACUAUCAAAUUUAGCAAUAUCGUAUAGUUUAUACCAAUUCUUUACCUAAUCCAAACAAAGAUGAACGAAAAUCCUAUACUGAAAACAGAAACAAGAUCUCCACGCUGUCAGUCUGAUGGAUCUAAUUAACUCUUCCAAGUACUUUACUUACUGACACGCUACUACAGUACUUCAUCCGAUUCAUAAAAAAUGUCGCCCAUUUAGUAUAAAAUGACGACUAUGAAUUGGAUGGAGUAUUUACAUAUACCUUGCCGUAGUUGCCGAAGUUGGUCUUGAGGAUAUACUCGACCACCGCCGGGUCGGACGUGUAGACCAGCCGCCGGCCGGGCGCGAGCAGCCGGAACGUCUUGUGCUCGCGGAACAGGCCCGUGUAGUAGUCGUGCAGCUGCCGGAGGUGGUACACCUGGUGGAACACCGUGCCGGCGGCGGGUGGGUACCGCUUGCGGCCGGUGACGACGACGGCCAUGUACGAGCAGAUCGCCAGCACCGCGAGGCCGAGGCCGGCGAUGGCCAAGAAGGCCGGAGACAUGCACACUGGUAUCUCCGUCGCCAUGGCUAUACUCGCAUGUACCUUAUCACCUAUGUGCGUUGUGGGUGACGGGGUGAGUGAUGUGCUGUGUGGCCAGGCCGUAUCAGCUAGCUUUAAGUAUCGGCGGAACGUGCAAAGCUGUCUUCUGUGAGUAAACGAGUACAGUAGUCAGUAGGCUAUUAUAUCCUUUCACGUGUGCUGAUCCGCGAUCCGAUAUUCUGAUGGAAGUAUUGGCGCGGCACUCCCUCGGUCCCGGCCCCCGAUAGUCAGUGUGCAUAUAUUUGAAAAUGGGAGAUGAUUUUGUACGCCCGGCACAUCAAGCGCACGCUUCGGACACCACGCUCGCUUGCCACGUGCCCCCGUGGUCUCUUCCGCGUUUUCUCCCGCGUGCCUGUCAGAACUCCACGAAUUUCCAUCUCCUUUCCUCGUUGGCACGGACAGUCCGUGUCAGGAUGCCGGUGACGGACUGCAGGUUGCAGCACUGUUGUUGUUGCUGCUGCCGGCUUUCCUCGACUCCGUGCGACCCUGCUGUCCACCCGUGCCCUCCUCUCAUGCCGGUGACGGACUGCAGGUUGCAGCACUGUUGUUGUUGCUGUUGUCCAAUUAAUUUGCAGAAAACCAUGAAAAAACCGUAACAACGUGCCCACAAACGUCAUGCACAACUUUCAUCGGACUGGCUACCAGUACACACUACAGACCACCAUAGAGAGGGACUGUCGGUCCUACCCGGGGGUGUCAUCAUCAUCACACAUCACUUCUCAAGCCGGCGACUCCGACUUCAUAACAAACGAACACCAAUGAAACCCACGCCACAAUGGCCGCACAGAGCCCAUACCGAGCUAUGCCAAACAGCCGGCCGCCAUGUCGAGGACAAGGUAGUUUCGAUUCCGAGAAUAACCUCCAAAGGGAGAAAGGCAAGCCUUGCGUUGUAGAUCGCCGAACAUUUAACUAGGUUUCACGAGGCACCUAGUAGGAAGCCCCCAGCGCGUCCACCAUAGCAACAUCGUCAUCGGCAACAGCCCCUCGACCGACGACUCUGACUUCACCACCAGCGAACACAGAAGGGAACUCUGCAAAACCACAGCUUUAACACCGUCACUUCCGCAAAGAACGUUGUAAGGACAAACACAGAAAAUCACAGACGGUCGACGCUGAAGGCCACGCCAAGACCAUGCUUCGCUUGCCACCAUUGUCGUUGCUGCACAAGUCGCAACGUGACCGCGAGCCUCCAUCCACUGGUCCCUCCAGGCGGCGUGAGCUCCAAAGACGAUGCCUCCAACAAGGGGAACCCCGCCGAGCGCCGCCAUCAUCAGGUUCUGAACCUGGGGUUUCCCCCGGAGCUCCCCUCGGGGAUGGUUGGAGAGGACGACGUCACAACAGCGCCUCAAAGAAGGUGACGAUGCCCUCGGACGUCACCGCUGCCGGCUCCGGCCAGUGACCAGAGGCAUGGCUUUCACCCGGCGCAGUUUCCCCACCCGCCACCCGAAACCAACUGGCUCACCUUCACCUCCACCCGCUGCAGCACCUCCAACUGGAGCAGAUAUGGCCAAACCUGACCGGAUUCAGCCGCCGGCCACCACCUCCGAGAAGAGAAGCCUUGCAGCUGUACCACAAAGAGAUAUGGCAACCACGAGGCCGUGCGAGCCGCCGGAGCUCGCUGCACCAGCGCCGCUGAGAAGAUGUGAAGUUUUAUAGAAUUUGGAUCCAACCGUCUUGAGAAAAUAAGCCAGGACUUCUUCAACAAGUAUGAGUUUUGUUAGCAGCAAUAGUCUCCAUGAUGCAUAAAUGAAUGUAUUUUUAUCCUUUCGCUCAUUCUUAUAAGUAAUGAUUAUGAUUAUGAUAAAAAUUGAUAAAUUAAAGGCAAUAAAAUAAUGGGACACACAAUCCGAGCUAAAAGACACAAGAUAAACAUAUAUUGUAUGGUCUCGUCCAAAUUGCGGAAACAACAUUUCAGACUCCCCUCCUAAUUUCGGUUUGCCAGAUUCUUUUUUUAAAAUAACCUUGGGAUCAAGGAACCACAUAAAAUCUUCACUUUGAGGAAAUUUUAAAAUUCCAUAGGUAUUUCUGCCGAAAGACCGUAUGUCCUUCCAUCAAAUCCUCAUACAUAGAUUUUACCGUAAAAAAUUAAUAUUGUUUGCAUCAAUCCUAUGUAGAAGCCGGGGAUGAUUGCUCUUUUUCCUUUGUUUUUUGUAGUUUUACACGACAAAGAUCUAUUAGUAUAAAACAACUUGAGCAAUUAUUUUUGAAUGAAAUAUUAACGGUAUUUCUAUUGAGAAGUUGCUUGUUUUUUAGUUAGAGAUUAGCCAUUUUUUCAUCGAAUUUUAGAUUUAUGACAUUUUGAUUAAAAAUAUGGCGACCGAGAAAUACACUCAUAUAUUAAAGUAGUACUGCUAACAUGCACGUUACAUCAAACAAGUAGCUCAUCAUUUUUUUUUCUCACUCCACUAAACACUGGCCACCCCACAGUGCCGCCACACCAGUUCUUUGGUCACUUGGAAGCCUCAUCAACCGGCUUCGCCAGAGCGCCGUCAUUCUGGACACUGAACUCAAUAAACCUGUCCACGUCAGGCAACACGUCCACGACGGCCGGGUGCGCGCAGAGCCGGUCCGCCCACGCGGCCAGCCUGGGCACCUUGGCCGCGUCGAGGAGGCUGACCCCGUUGAUCCUCUCCACCGCCCUGAUCCACCCGACGUGCGACCCCAGCGCGAUGUCCAGGUACCCGACGCCGUCGCUGCCGAAGUAACCCUUCCCUCCGCCGCACUCCACGAAGGCCCCUUCCAGCUGCCACAGCGCCGCGGACACCUCAGCCGCCGCUUCCUCCUUGUCUCCGACCACCCUUCCCCUCAGGACACGGAUCGCCGUAGGAAACUACGUGCACAUUGACUAAUUAAGCAGGCCUUGUCGAAAUGAAAAACUUAGAAGGAAAAACAUAAGGGGAUCCUUUUUUAAUUUUUUGUUUUGUUUUACCUUGUCGUCGACGUACUGGGCCCAGAACCGUUCGGCGGCGCGGGCGUGCGGGUCGGAGGGGAGGAUGGCGGGGGCCUGGGAGGCCCAGGCGCUCGUCGACGUACUGGAGGAUGACGAGGGACUCGGAGAUGGGCCUGCCAUUGUGGAUGAGCACGGGGAUCUUCUUGUGCACGGGGUUGGACGCGAGCAGCAGCUCGCUCUUGUUGCCCUUCGGCUCCGCCACCAUCUCGUGCUCCACGCCUUUGAGAUUGAGUGCUAUUAGGACCCGGAUCACGUACGGGCUCGGCCACCGGCCCAGCACGCGCACGGCCGCCUCUUCCUGUUUCUCCGACGGCAUUUUCAGUCGGGGAUCAGUGUCAGAUUGUGUGAUGGUUGUGUUGCGGCGUAUGAAGAGAUGAAGACUGAAGGUCGUUUGCGAUGCGAAGCUAGUGCAGUGAAGUGUGCUUUUACGGGGGCCACUUCGACGUCAGAGCAUACGUCAUCGUUUGGAAUUUGGGCAGCUUCUUUAUCUGUUAGUCUUCCUACUCAACUCGGUGUGCCCUGAUGUCUCACGUUUCUUGAAUCCUGAUGCGAUCCUUUCCGUCAUCGUAGAGCUAUAUGCACAUCGGAUUUUCUGUGGUUGUCAGAAAAAGAUGAUCUCAUCUCUGCAGAUUGCAGUGUGGAACCGUGGAAGAGCUGGCCCCUGCAGUCGCGGGCAGCACAGAUGCACUGGCUCUCUGGUCCCAAACUAGCGAGGAGCCCGUGCAAUGUCACGGAACAACAAAAGCUGAGGUAAUAAGUGUAGAUUUAAUAGGCCAAACAUUGAAUGAAGUGUUUAACAUGUGAUUGGCCAACAUGUUAAAUUUGAAACAUUAUGCAAUAUUUAAAAGCUGAAACCAAUUUCUUAUUUAAUACAAAAUAAUAGUUUGUUUUUCAUUUGCCAUUUCAUACCAAAUAUUACAUAUAUCAUACACCCAAAUAACCCCCAAUGCUAUAAUACUAAAUCCCUAUGUAUCAAAAUCACAAACAUAGAUUCUCAAAUACUCCCUCCGUUGAACUAAAACAACAACAACAAUUUAGAAUCGUUGAGAGUAACUGCAUGGAUGUUUUCUUUCUUAUAGCCGACUUGUCAUCAAAGCUAAUAUGCUCCUUCUCUACUGAAGCUCUUCCAAGUUAGCUGACAUAUCAACCUGACAUCAUGCAAAUAAGAAAUGGAUACGAAGCAACAAAGUUCAGACAACAAAUACUAUUACCAUGUAAAAAACAUUUAAAAAAAAGAAUUUGAGCCUUCUAUCUUAUUACAGCUGUAAUCUGAAUAGUGCUAAUUGCUAAGACUUUGUGAUCCAAAAUCCUCAAAACAGUGAACAUGUACAUGAAGCUCUAUGCUAUAGCUGCUUACAAUGAUAGAGUAAAGAUUUAUACAGUUUGCACAGAAAAGAGAUUCAUAAGACAAACAUUUCCUUAUUCAUAAGACACACCAACAGUCCAAGGUGAUGGAAGAUUUUGAAGGAACUUACACUGCAGCUCUACCGGUGCAUGUUCUCUUGGGCCCUAUUUAGAAGAGAGUAUAAAAUAGCUCAUUCUCAUUUACUCUGUUGCAGGAUCAUUAGUUCAACAUGUGAUCUUAUCAAUUUUGUUAGAAUCAUAAAAAGAUUGCCGAAUGAUCUAACAAUGAACCAAAGCUGUUAGGAAAUCACAACCACAUAGAAGUAUUAGGAUUAAAACCAAUUGACUAGCUCACAACUGCAUAUCAACGAAUAUGUCAUGUGCAAGACAGUGGGAUGUAUCAGAUUAGAAUAGUUAAAGUAAUCACACAAAAAUUGGACAAAAACAUUAUUUUACAUAGAGAAUGGAUACAUUUUCUGUACCAAAUGGGUCUAGCACAGAACAAAAAUAGUUUUCCGUCAGUCUUUUGUUCUAGUACUGAUAUGAUUGAGAUUUACAUAAUGGUCAGUGGGACUACCACAAAAAAAUAGUUUUCCUUGAGCCUUUUGUUCUAGUACUGACAUCAUGGUCAAGUUUACACAUUGGAGUUGGUUACACAUAGUCUGUAAUGUAAUGCCGUAUGUCCAUACUAAAUAGAUACUGCAAUCUAACAGCUAUCGUCACUGUACAUAUGAUCAAAACCGAACUAAGAAGGAUCGGACCAUGUAAAAUUCAGUUAUUGCAGAAGCAAUCUGCUGUCAUUGUACUUAUCAGAACAAACAAUCUUCAAACUCAUGAUAAUUCAAGUUAAUAUAGAGACAUAAUACAGGACAAAUUAGAUCAAAACCAUCAGAUAAUUUAUAUCAAUUGGACAAAAACUCAUGCUGUGAGUGCAUAAAAAGCAUAGAGUACCAAACCAAUGCAAGUAAUGCAACAAUCAACUCCAAUUAGUUUGGGUUCUGACACCCAGAUUUGAGACACAAAUGCAGGCUUGCAGCUCUGCUCACCCAGGAUCCAAUUUUGACUCCCAAAUCAAAUAUAUUGUCUGCAGCUAAAUUAAAUUGGCACGCGAUGCAGGAGCACCACCACCGGAAUCAGCAUCGGCAGCAUAGUUGGGUUGGGUUUGGUUCAGUAGGGCAGCAUGAGGUGGGAGAUCUUGCCCUCCUCGCCGGGCGUGGUCGCCAUUCGGUCGGUGGAGCGGAGCCAGAUGCAGACUGCGAAGAAGCUAAGGACGAAUGGACGUGGGGGUUGACAAAAGAUUGGACGAAUGAGGACGGACGAACGGCAGGACCGCCUCGCCCCCGAGCACCAGUUCCCCGCCGCCGUCAACAAUGCCGCUGCCGCGCUCCUCUGGCUCGCCUUGCAGUCGGCACCGGUGGCGACCCAUGGGCGUGGGCAUGAGGGAUUUGGGAUUGGGGUGGAGGGGAGUUGUUUUUUUCCGUUACGUAUGUGAUUAGUGUGCGUCGGACGGACUCGAGCGAGGGAAGAGCCGAGCGAGGAGGGGGCACGACGUAUGGCCAACGCGUAGUAGAGGUGAUUGGUGAGGGUGGAUGCGGCGCAGAGGGUAGAGCCCACGGCCAUCGCGAGGGUUGAGGGGGGACAGUG
rnacentral:lncRNA from 1 species